CCUACGGGAGGCAGCAGUAGGGAAUUUUCGUCAAUGGGCGCAAGCCUGAACGAGCAAUGCCGCGUGAACGAGGAAGGUCUUCGGAUCGUAAAGUUCUGUUGAAGGGGAAAAAGAGCGGAGAGAGGAAAUGCUUUCUGAUUGAUAUUACCCUUCGAGGAAGUCACGGCUAACUACGUGCCAGCAGCCGCGGUAAUACGUAGGUGGCGAGCGUUAUCCGGAAUGAUUGGGCGUAAAGGGUGCGUAGGCGGCCUGCUAAGUCUGGAGUGAAAGGUACCGGCUCAACCCGUGAACUGCAUUUGAAACUGUUUCCCUUGAGUGUCGGAGAGGUAAUCGGAAUUCCUUGUGUAGCGGUGAAAUGCGUAGAUAUAAGGAAGAACACCAGUGGCGAAGGCGGAUUACUGGACGAUAACUGACGGUGAGGCGCGAAAGCGUGGGGAGCAAACAGGAUUAGAUACCCCAGUAGUC
rnacentral:rRNA from 1 species